CAGAGUCUCACCUGGUUAUGAAGAAAAUUGAAACCUAUUUGUCACAGUUUGGAUGGUAAUAGGAUAGAUGUUGGGGAGUCAGAAUGUAAGGGGUUUACUCUCAGGUGAAGCAUAAUAGAAGUGGGGAGCAGAGAAGUAGGAGGGACAAAUAAAGCAUUUUCAUGUGCCGAGCACUUCUAAGCCUUGGGGCUACAAAUACAGUAAAAUACAGUAAAAAAAAUACAGUCUUUACUUUUAAGAAACAUAUUCCAACAGAAAGGGGAGCUGGAAAGGCAGUGUGUACCUGUGUGGGGGGAAAGUUUGCUGGUGAGGAGGUGGAGCAAUCCAAGGAGUGCAUUGAGUUCAGAGUUAAGUGAGAAUGGCUAGGACCCCUCAUGACAUGGUAAUCCAGGUCAGGGACUCGCCAAUCAGGAGAGCAAGCUUCCGACAGCACAGGCAUCUCCAGGAAAUGCAUUUCAAAACAACAACAACAAGAAGAAAGUAAAAAGGUCUUCCUGAUUCCAAGCCCAGCAUUUUAUCCACUACACUGCCACCUGAAGGAACCUGGAAGAUCUGUAGCAUAUGCCACUGAGGAGGCUGAGAAACCUGCUGAGAAACAUAUCUAGUGUAUGACUAUAAAUAAUUGAAGUUGAACAGGUGCCUGGGAAACA